GCACCUUAUGUUGCACUCUUAAAAUUAGCCCUAAAAGGACAGCUUUCUCAUCCCCUUAAGUGUCCAGCUUCCCCAGAGUCUUGUCUAUUAAAAACCUUGUUUGUCCUGGCAGAUGGGAACUGGCUCUCUGCUUGAUCUCAAAGAAUGCAUCUAAAAGCCUCCGAAAUGUCCAUAUCAACACUCUCCAAUCUGCCAUCAUCAAUGAGAUCAACGCUCAUGGAUGGCCAGCAGUCUACUUUACAUCAGCAUGUCGAGCAGACUUCAUUUGACCAAGAGGUGGCAGUGUAGCUCUCAGGAUCCCUCCUCGUGUCACUGAUCUUCUCCUUUGUGUCUUGGAGAGAUUAAGCAGUUCGAUUGGCAGAAUGAUUUGAUUAAAGAAGGCUCUUUGGUGUUAAAGAGAGCCUUUGAAGAUGAAACAACUGCAUUCCAAGUCCCAGUCUCCCUCCCUGGAGACAUGCUUUCCAAAAGGCUACAGCCACAGCACAAAGCUAGCCUUGACAUUUGCAUAAAUCCAUCAGCGUCACCACGACAGCGCUGACUCCUAGGUCACCAUCCGCCGAUAAAUUUAGAAAGAAAACAAAACUAGGCAGGAAUGGUAAAAAAAACUGUUCUAAAGAUUUUGCAUUGCUAUGCUGCAGUCAGAUGAUUACAUUGACAGGUCUCAGAUGAGCGCUUUUCAGGAACAAGCAAUACAAAAACAGCCAUGGCUUUUGUUAAUGCCUGGAGUUUUACAACAUGACAUGUAAGUGUGCGUGAGAUUGUUUGUGUGUGUGAGAGUGCUGCUUGAAGAAGGAGGGAGUGCAUAUGAAUUAGUCUGUCCAAGAUUCACAAGUAAAUGCUGUGGACAAGGCCACUGGCCUCACCUGGCAGUCGAUUGUCUUAAUUUCACCAGUGUCACUUUCAGUUUAACCGGAGCCUGAGAUGAGAGUUAACUCUGCAGGCUCCACCUCCUGCUCUCUGGAGCUACAAGUGUGCAGGCUGCAACAGCAGUGGCUUACAGACAGGAAGUAGACAACUGUGUGACAAGAGAUCAUCUUCAGACUGAAUGGUUAUUGUAGCUGGAUCUGUAAUGAUCCGGCAUGUUUGACACAGUUGCAUGUUGUUGUUGUUGUUUUUUUUUUAAGAAUUACAAAUCUAAUAGAUCACUUAUUGUUCUUCUGUUAUGUUCUUCUGUUAGCCAAAUAUGUGACUCUGGACAUCAAAACCUGUCAUAAGUGGCAUGUGUAGCAAUAGCCAACAAUACAUUGUAUG